GGUUAUGGCUCAGCGGUAGAGCGCUCGCCUCCCGUGUGCAAGGCACUGGGUUCGAUCCUCAGCACCA
rnacentral:tRNA from 1 species